rnacentral:rRNA from 1 species
UGAGGAAUAUUGGUCAAUGGUCGGGAGACUGAACCAGCCAAGCCGCGUGAGGGAUGAAGGUGCUAAGCAUUGUAAACCUCUUUUGUCAGGGAACAAAGGCAUCCACGAGUGGAUGUGUGAGUGUACCUGAAGAAAAAGCAUCGGCUAACUCCGUGCCAGCAGCCGCGGUAAUACGGAGGAUGCGAGCGUUAUCCGGAUUUAUUGGGUUUAAAGGGUGCGUAGGCGGCCUGUUAAGUCAGCGGUAAAAGCCCGGGGCUCAACCCCGGCGAGCCGUUGAAACUGGCUGGCUGGAGUUGGCGAGAG